rnacentral:rRNA from 1 species
AAUCAACGCUGGCGGCGUGCCUCAGACAUGCAAGUCGAACGAUUAAGACUCCCUUCGGGGAGUGCAUAAAGUGGCGCACGGGUGAGUAACACGUAAGUAAUCUACCCUCGGGUGGGGAAUAACGUCCGGAAACGGACGCUAAUACCGCAUAAUGCAGCGGCACCGCAAGGUGACAGUUGUUAAAGAUUUAUUGCCUGGGGAGGAGCUUGCGGCAGAUUAGCUUGUUGGAAGGUAACGGCUUACCAAGGCUACGAUCUGUAUCCGGUCUAAGAGGACGGUCGGACACACUGACACUGAAUAACGGGUCAGACUCCUACGGGAGGCAGCAGUCGGGAAUUUUGGGCAAUGGGGGAAACCCUGACCCAGCAACGCCGCGUGAAGGAUGAAGUAUUUUCGGUAUGUAAACUUCGAAAGAAUAGGAAGAAUUAAUGACGGUACUAUUUAU